AUCAGCCGAGUACAUCAACACAGGCAAUGCCUGCAGAUAUUGUCAAUGAGAACCUUGAAGAUACAAUAAAUUUAACAGGACAUGAAUCAAUGGAUAUAGCAAUGGAGGUUGAAGUACAUAGCUGUCCUGAGGCAAUACCUGACAACGUGGUU